GAGCUGCUGUAGCCCCUACGUGGUGAGUAGAUCGUCUCCACAGAAAUCAGCGGAGGCUUCCACAGUCCCUGGUUGGAAUGGAACCGGCGGUGAGGAUGAGAGGCGCUGAAGACCAGAAGACCCAGGGCGUGAACGGGGCGUGUCAUCCCUGGAGUUUCAGUAGAAUUUCAGGCCUGUCUGCUUGAGCAGCAGAGGAGGAGUUUCUGUGUGCCUGUGAGAGACUGUGUGUGUGUGUGUGUGUGUGUGUGUGUGUGAGAUGAAUGAACAGGGUUGUGUACGUGUGUGUGCGUUAGACAAAUGAACAGUGUUGUGUACCUGUGUGAAUUGUCACUGUGACUCCAGGCUCUAGGCUCUGCAGAUUCCUCAGCCCUAUCGCCUCACAGACACUUGGGAUGUGCAGCAGGUAAAAGAGAGAAGCCAGAUUCAUGGAGGCGUGAAGGAUCCCAGCAAGAAAACACAGACUUGAUCUUGAGACGAGAUUUUUGAAAUUGGUUGCGGCCUCAAGGCAGGCUCUGAGAAGACUCGAUAAAGAGUUCUCAGGAAUAGGCAUCCCUCCUGGAUAUUUCCCCCUUGGAAGCGCCGAGGAGCCAGCUCUAUGUUUGUAACCAUAGCAUUUCUAAAGCUCCAGCCCCAGGAACCUGCUGUGAAUUAGAGACAGAUUCCACCCUAGGCAUCACUGAUCUUGGCCUCUCUUGUAUUGGGAAGGUCAACACUGUUCCAGUUUCUCUCCUACUCCCAUCUGGUUGUGCUCGGUGAAGUAGGUGAGCAGUGCUACCCUUCUGUUAAAAAAAAAAAAAAAAAAAAGAUCCUGAAAGAGGAAAGAAUUUUUGCUACACAUCUGAAAGCUAAAGUCCAGUUGAACUCCAGAGGAGAACACAGCCCAGGUAACCCCUCGUUUGCAGCCUGUGAGACCAGCCUGAGGACAGCACCCAGCUAAACUCCAGGUCCAUGGAAACUGUGAGAUUUUAUAUAUUUAUGUUGUUUUAAGCUAAAUUCGUGGUAAUUGGUUAUGGUAGCAACUGAAAAUUAAUGCAGUAAGAAAGUCUAAGGAGAUCGGAAGAGACUAAAGAGAAAUAACAGCUAAAUGCAACGUAGAUUAAUGUGUGGGAUCCUGGAAAAGAAAAAGGACAUUAAUGGGAAAACAUAUUUGAAUAAGAUGUGCAAAUUUUUCGUAUUGUACCAAUGUUAAUUUCCUGGUUUUGAUAAUUAUCCUUUGGUUAUGUAAGAUAAACGCUAGAAUGAAGGGUAUAUGAGAACCCUCUGUACUACUCUUGCAACUUUUCUCUAAGUCUAAAAUAAGUGGAAAUUAAAAGUUAAAACAAAAAAAAAGGAAAAUUUUAUCUAUCCCAAGACCACAAAGUUAUUUUUCUGUUUCUUCCUCCAGAAUCUUUAUUGUUUGUUUUCACACUUAGACCUAUGAUCCAUCUUGAAUUUAUAUCUGUGUAUGUAGUGGGAUGAAGUUCAAAAUCAUUUUUUUCAUACAGAUAUCCAAGUGCACUGGCACCGUUUGUUAAAAACACUGGCCUUCUCUUAAGCUGCAGUCAGACUUUUACUGUAAAGCAUGGGCCCAUAUAUGUGCAGGAGUCUUUCUACUUUUCCGUUGGUCCUCUUUGUCAAUCUUUGUGCCAGCACCUCCAUUUUAAUUCCUGUAGCUUUAUAUUAUAUCUUGAUAAUCUGGUAAUAUAAGUUGAAGAACAACUUUGUUCUUCAAAAUCACUUUGUCUAUUCCAGGUUCUUUGCAUUGCUCUAUAAUUUUAGAAUGAGUUAAUUAAUUUUCUCAAAACAAACAAAACGCCCUGCUGACAUUUUGUUGGCAGUACAUUGAAUCAGUAGAUAAAUUUAGAGAGAAUUAUCUCAAAAUUGAGUCUUACAGUUCAUGAACAUGGAAUACAUUUCCAUUUAUUGAAUUCAUCUUUAAUUUCUUUCCUUAAGGUUUUGUUGUUUCCUGUCUAAAGGUCUUGCACAUCUGUUAAAUUUAUUCCUGUUUUACAUUUUUUAUGUUUUUACAAACUGUUAAGGUUUUAAAAAUUUUAUUUUUCAGUAGCUUUGCUUUAAUAUAAUUGUUUUAUACUUUUACCCUUUAUUCAGCAAUAAAUUAUUUAAUUUAAAGCUUGUGGAAUUAAAAAAUAUUUUUAUGUACAUAAUCAUGUAAUCUACACUAUCUGCAAAUAAAGAUCAUUUUACUUCCUUCC
rnacentral:lncRNA from 1 species